ACUAGUAUUUCUUCAUUUGUCUUUUUUAAGUGGGGAGGUGGGAGCAGCUAAUUUUUUCCAGUAUUUUAUGUUUAUUUUUCCAGAUGAAAUUUGAUGUCAUUUUAUCAUGUUAAGAGAUUAUUUUGUUUAGCAUUGAAUUAAUAGAUUUAGGGACCUCUGAAUAGUUGUGCACUUGUGAGCUUUUUUUUUUUUUUUAAUCCAAAAGAACAAUAUAUCUGGCUAGGUAAGUCAUAUACCGCUAUCCAGAGGUUUUUUUUUUUUUAAAUGAAGGUCUUACAACUAUCUGCCUUUUAUUAUCACUAGGUUUGUAUCGUUACAUGUACUUCUAAAUAUUAAUGUUUUUACAAAAGCACUGUAAUGGAUUUCUUUUUUUUUUAGAAAGAAAUUUUCAGUUACUUCUUUUGGAUGUCCCAGAUACAUGAAUCAUUUGCAAGUAACAAUAAUUUUGCCUUCUCAUUUCCAGCAUUCACAGCUCUUACAGUGGUUAAGAUAGCCAGGAGAGCAUCAAAGGGUGGUAUUGGAGCACACCUUCAGCACAUGUUUGUUUUCAAAUUUAGAUGCUGAGUCUCUAUAGAGAUCUGAAAAAAACAUUUAGCGCAGUCCUUUCAUUUUAUAGUUCAGGACACAAGCCCAGAAAGGACACACAAGGCCUAAGUGUGUCAUAAUUGGGAAUAGGCUCUGGGUCUUUGGACCCAUGGAGCACUGCUCUUUCACUAUGGGACGCCAGUACUAGAGAAGGGCACCUUCGGAUCUCUGCCAAGUUGCUCACUGGCUGCAAUGCCUAGCGAGACCGCAGAAGUCACCCAGACGGGUUUUAAAACGUAUCCUUCUUUGUUUCAAGUAAUGUCUGCUGUAUACAAAUGACCAGGCUAAAGAAAAUACUGGUAGUAGUUAUGUUCCUUCAGAUACUUGACGUAGAACAUUUCAAUAUGAGAGAGGCAAAUUUUAGGCCGUUCACAAAACCUUAGCUUGUUGGCAAGUUUUGACAAAAUUAUAUUUUCUAAUUUGCCUGUGCUUUAAAAAUUUGAUGUGCUCAGUCCAUCAGAGGGGAGGACUGGAGUUUUGCUUUUGCCUUAAUCAAUGGCAAGACAUUCUUGGAAACUGGUGCUUACUGAACACAUACUGUAUUUCAGGCACUGCACCACAGAUACGCAUACAAAAAUAAGGGAGACCAGCCUGGGCAACAAAGAGAGACCCGACCCCCUCUCUCCACAAAAUUAAAAAAAGAUUAGCUGGGUAUGGUGGUGCACAUCUGUAAUCCCAGCUACUUGAGAGGCUGAGGUGAGAGGAUCACUGAAGUCCAGGAGGUCGAGGCUGCAGGGAGCUGUGAUUGUACCACGGCACUCUAGCCUGGGCGACAGAGCGAGAGCCUGUCUCAAAAGUAAAAAAUACAAAAAAUGGUCUCUGUCCUUGAUAAGCUUGUUCUCCAGUUAGAUGCACCUGUUUGAAAUUUGAUUUUCUAUAUUUCCUCUAAUUUUCCAAAUAAAAACUUAAGGUAUUCUUUGACUUUGGCUUGGGCCAUCUUCUGAAAACAUUUCAGACACAUCACUAAGUUGCUGCUCUUGUUUUUUUAAUGCAGUGCCAGGGAGAUAACCCAGGAGUUCGAGACUAGCCUGGGCAACACGGCGAGACCCUGUCUCUACAAAAAUACAAAAAUUAGCUGGGUGUGGUGGUGUGUGCCUGUAGCCUCAGCUACUCGGGAAGCUGAGGUGGGAUUGCUUGAGCCCAAGAGGUGGAGGUUGCAGUGAGCUGUGACGGUGCCGCUGCAUUCCAGCCUGGGCAACAGAACACUGUCUCAAACCAAGCAAAGCUGACGAGAAAGGGUAAGUCCCUCAAGGAGUGGUGCCCCUCCUUUAAAAAUAACUUUCUGUGUGUACUCUACUUUGGACCUGGUAAGUUUGCUAGGUACAAUUUAGAAUACAUUAUUGAAAAGUUUUUGAGAGUCCAGGUGCAAGGCUUCCAAUUCCCUCUUGAUGCUAAACCAGCAAGGCUCUGUUCCUGUUUCAGUUUCAGUUUUGGAACAUCCUGGCCUAUUUUAGCAUGAUGUUGAAGCUGAUAGAAUAAUAGACAGUGACACAAAAGCACUGCAGAUUUUAAUGUGGCCAGUUAGCCUGGCUGUCCUUUGAGAAGAACCUAGGUGAUGUUAAUACUAACAUAGUUUGGGAAUUUUUUUUUUUUUUUAAUCAUAAGAAGUAGUGCAGAAUAAAAGUCUGGAACCACAUUAGCUGAAGGUAAAAGCACAGACCAGUGUGGUGUUGAAUAAAAACAGGGGACCAUUCAUAAUAAUGGCUGUAUUUAAGUCACCCAAGGCACAUUUGGGUGGUGCGAGACUGCUUGUUGGGGGUGAGGCAUGGGUGCAGUGAGUCAUGAGUCAUGAUAGCGGGAAAGGAGCAGCAGCAGGCCAGCGUUCUCCAUUACAGGCUGUUUGGCAUACUGGGCUUGAAGCCAGGGGACGGACUCAAGUCUAGUGUCUUAUUCUCAGACAAUAUUGAUGCUAAAAAGCUUUUGAAUACUGAUGGAGGUAGCAAUGUAUCUUAUAAACACCUCGAGGGUUGGAAAGGUCCACAGCAUCUCGCAGAAGCUUUUCCAUAUCUCCCUGGGCAGAGCGAUUCCAUACUGUGUCUGCUGUGUUUUUGUUAGUACUUUGCCCUUUGCGCCUAGAUACCUGUCUUGUUAAGAAACAUCACCUUCCUUAACAGAAGUAAAACCCAGAAACUCCACUGGGCUUUUUGCUGAUUAUCUUUGCUGGCUGCCACCAAGAUAGGCCCAAGCACAGCUGGAAGGGCAUCUAAGACAGGCCUGACAGUUUAGGAAACUGAUAUUGAAGAAAACAGAAUCGCAGAAUGUUACUAUAAUAUUAUAAGCUCUUAUGUCAUAUUAAAUCCAGACGGCUGUUCUGUAAGUUUAAUGUGCUUAGAACUACCUCACAGAACUUGGAUCUGUGAAGUCUGAGGAGGAACUUAGGAGUCUGUGGUCUGACUGAGGUGGUCCUGGGACCCCUCUGAGAAGCUCAGCUCUGCAGAGAUAUCUGUUUUAUGGGGCACAAUUUGCCCGCCAAGCUUGCAUGCCCACACCACCUAAUGCCAGAAGCAAGAAGCAUGCUUGUCAAGGUUUCUCUUUUCUAGCUCUCAGCUGUCUGGAACUGCCCUAAUCGAUGCCCUCUUCUCUGAAGACCUGCCCCAGCCGAUGCGUAGGGGCUCAUGCGGAUAGGACUCUGCUGGCCCACCAUGUUAGAGUCACCUGUGAAGUCACCCAGGACAUCUUGCACGUCUCAUCACACAAUUCCCUGCGGAGGCUACAGCCCCGUUAACCUGAAUGACACCGAAGACAAGUUUCUGGUAUUCAUAGAACCUGUGCCUAUGAACCUCCAUUUCUUCAUCUUCUAGCCUGGAUAUUAAUUUGCCUGCUGAUUGCAACGCUCAGCCAUUGGACUCACCUGGGUAAGUUGGAAACAAACUUGGCCCCUCUCCCUACCAAUGAAAUUAGAAUCCAUAGUGGGUGGGGCCCUUGCAGUGGUCACUUUUAAAGCUCCCAGAUGGUUCUAAGGUGCAGCCAGGAUUGAGACAUACUGUGCUAGCGUAGACUCUGCUCCCUGUAAGAUGCAUCGCUAUUGGCCGUACCAGGCACUCUUAAGGCUUAUCUGGGACAUUUGUACUUCAGAGUAAAUAGCGUUACAGUAAGAGAAAUUGAGAGGCUGAAGGCCUUGACAGAACUCUCAGUUUGUCCACCUUUUGACCACUUAGUUGGUCUUGGUGUAGGUGGGGGGAAGGGCGUGAAGGGACCGUGGAGUUCUGGAAUAAGGGCUGCCUGCCUCUGACCAUGAGUCCAGAGGUGGCAAUCAGUGUGGCCUCUGGGCUGCAUCUGUUUGUAGCAGGUACAUUCUGUUGGCCUGCAGUGUGGUCACAGGCGGUUGUUUUUAAAAAUAUGAAUGCCAGCCUUUAAAAAUUGGGUUUUUCAUAAGAGCAUUCUCUCAGAUCUGAUGGUAGACUUGGUGCUAAAUCAAACCAUGCACUUAGGAGUGCGAGUUCAUUAAUUCCCAUUUAGCCAGGUUACCCUAUUCAUAAGGGUGAUGACUGAAAUGGAAUAUGAUCUAACACCAAUUCCUUCUGAUUCUAUUAGAAGGCGAUAGGUUUUGAUAACUGAAAUUUUAGUUUCACCAUUUUCACCUUUUGCUCUGCAACAAGCCCUUCUGGGGCUGGGCUUGAAUGAUAGAAUCUGGCUUGGGAGAUAGCAGUCUUGGGUUUAGUCUAGGUUUUGCUGUGGGAGCCUAGGGUUCUCUCUGGUUCUGAGUGUCCUCAUUUAUGUAAAACAAGAUCAAAUAAUUUCCAAGUUUCUUCUAAUUGGGAUUCGAAGAUGUGAAUGGCGCAAGAAUAGAAUGGAAGACCCCCUGGUUAAAGUCAGAGUGUAAGAGGGUUAGCAAUGAAACUGGCCUGGAGAAGUCUGGGAGGGAUGUGAGGGAAGAGCUGGAAGCAAGCGGGGAAGCUACAGUGAAACAUUGGGUCCUAACCGUCCACACAGGCCAAAGAUGAAAGGGCGAUCUUGGGCGAGAGAGUGCUCCACCACUGGAGACAUCACAUGGAGGCCAGUCAGCUACUUAGAGGGCAUGAUGUGGGCAGCAGAUGGUGGAUGAGUCCCUUCUGACAUGUAGAGGUAGGAGGGAAGGAAGCAAGGAGCCCCUCAUCUACUACUCCUUCAAAGAAUGCCAGCUGUAGUAGAGCAGGGGCUUUGUCUGUUUUGUCCCUGCUCUGUCCUCCAUGCCUGGAACCAUGCUGGGAACACAGCAGGAGCUCAGCUAACAGCCUCAGUGAAAUGACCACCUGCAGAAGCAGACCGAGCCCGCUUUGGGCGCUGACUCGAUGUUCAACUUGAGCGGCUGCCCUAACAGCCCCCAGGUCUGCCUGAUUCUCUCCUGCUGGGACAUGCGGCCAGGGGUUGUAGAAAACUCUAGAGGAUCAGCCAACCCUUUCCCAAGCUGUCCGGCCUC